CGAGUGCCCCAAGCGUUAUCCGGAAUCACUGGGCGUAAAGGGUGUGUAGGCGGUUUGGUUAGUCUCCUGUUAAAUUUCCCGGCUUUAACCGGGAACCUGCAGGGGAAACGGCCAAACUAGAGGAUGCGAGGGGUGUGUGGAACUCAUGGAGUAGGGGUGAAAUCCGUUGAUAUCAUGGGGAACACCGAAAGCGAAGGCAGCACACUGGCGCAUUCCUGACGCUGAAACACGAAAGCGUAGGUAGCGAAUAGGAUUAGAUACCCUAGUAGUCUACGCCCUAAACGAUCCUAACUAGUUUUUCGGAGUAUCGACCCUCUGAGAGACGAAGCUAACGCGUUAAGUUAGGCGCCUGGGUAGUACGGCCGCAAGGCUA
rnacentral:rRNA from 1 species